CGAGUCCCCCUCCUAAUCUCCGGAAUGACAUCCGAACCAGAGAAAAUCAUGGAGAUCUACACUGAAACACGGGGUAUAAGUUUGUAAAAUUGAAUUUGAACUUUCACAUUAAGAAUAGCGCCUCCAAUAAACUUCAACUUCAUGGUUGAGAAAGAGGAAUCAACGGGCUCGGUCCGUUAUCGCCUGUGUUAGAGUGUGCCGGGUGAUGGCAAACAUGUCCGGGGAAGAGGACGGGUGUCCCGAGGCGCAGCUGGUCUCUGAAGCCGGGCCCAACUGGCUCCGCGCGGAGAACGAGCGCCUGACGCGGGAACUGAGCGAGACGAGCCGCGAGAAGAUCCAGGCGGCGGAGUAUGGGCUCGCGGUGCUGGAGGAGAACCAGCAGCUCAAACAGCGCUUCGAGGAGCUGGAGAGCGAGUAUGAGAGCGCCAGACAUGAGCUGGACCAGCUCAGAGAGGCAUACGGCCAGGUUCACUCCACACAUAGGAAGGUGGCUGCAGAUGGGGAAAGCAGGGAGGAGUCCCUCAUCCUUGAGUCGGCAUCUAAAGAGGCGUACUAUGAGCAGAGAGUGCAGGAACUGCAGGCUGACCUGCGACAAACAAAGAACACCCUCACCAGCACCCAGGCGGAGAACGAACGUCUGGCCACCCUUGCACUAGAGCUGAGAGAGAAUAAUGAGAUUGUGGAGCUCCAGCGCAGUCGCCUGCGUGACGAUAUUAGAGAGUACAAGAUCCGCGAGUCUCGUCUGCUGCAAGACUACACUGAACUGGAAGAAGAGAACAUCAGCCUUCAGAAACAAGUUUCCACCCUUAAACAGGGUCAGGUGGAGUUUGAGGGACUAAAGCAUGAGAAUCGCCGCUUGGAAGAGGAAGUGCAGUACAUGAACAGCCAGCUAGAGGAUGCCAUUCGGUUACGUGAAAUAGCUGAGCGUCAGCUAACAGAGGCUUUAGAAACCGUAAAGACCGAACGGGAGCAGAAAGCAGCUCUCCGAAAAGAAUUGACACAUCACAUGACCCUGGGAGACUCCCUUCUUGCCAGCUCAUUGGAUGGGCUCAAACUGAGUACAGACGAACCAAAUAACGAUGAGGCCAUUUUGGCAUUUGAAAACGGAUUAGCUAAAGUCAGUGAGGUUAACGACGAAGAUAACCGAUUGUCUUCUCCCAAAAGAGAUGGAAACAUCCGUCCCGCACCAAGUCUGGUUGAUGACUUGUUGACAGAGCUGAACAUCUCUGAAAUCCAGAAGCUUAAACAACAGCUCUUACAGGUGGAACGAGAGAAGGUGGCUCUACUCACCACUUUACAGGACUCUCAGAAGCAGUUAGAGCAUGCUCGAGGAGCAUUAGCUGAACAGCAGGAAGCUAUGACGAGACUUAGUGACGAUUUGGGUGUAAUGAGGAGAUUGCAGGCAGGCAAGGAGCGGCAGUCAGCCCUGGACAGUGAGCGAGAGCGGGACAGUCGGGAGGACAAUGAUGUGGACUAUUAUGAGCUGGAUAUCAAUGGGCCAGAGAUACUUCGGUGCAAGUAUGAAGUAGCCAUAGCAGAGGCAGGUGAACUGAGGGAGGAGCUUAAGGCACUAAAAUCGGAGCAUGAUGAGAUGAAGGCAGAGCAUGAGGAGGUACGGGCACGACUGGAGGGACACGUGCGUGACCUCAGUGUUCAAGUGUCUCAUUUGGAGAGCAGCAGCCGUGCAGACCGUGAUCAAGUCACUCGGUUGGAAAAGGAGCUGAAGGAAGUGAGUGCAGUUGCCGGCGAGACAGAAGGAAGUCUUAGUGUUGCCCAGGAUGAGCUUGUCGCCUUCAGUGAAGAGCUUGCAAACCUCUACCACCAUGUCUGCAUGUGCAACAACGAAACCCCGAAUCGUGUCAUGCUCGAUUUCUACAAAGAGGGUAAAGGAAACAAGACCGAAGGUAAAGAUCUUCAGUCUACGUUGACGCAAACCAGUGACAGCACAGCUGAGACACCAAGGUCUAACUCCACCGCCGCUGACAGCUUGACUUCUGGAACACCAGUCAGAGAAGAUCCAGGUCCUGAAUCAAUGGACAUCUACAACCUAGUAGCUAUAAUUCGGGAUCAGAUACGCCACUUGCAGAAGGCGGUCGAUCGUACCACAGAACUGUCCAGGCAAAGAGUUGCUUCUCUAGAGUUGGCCGCAGUGGCGGAUAAAGACCAGGCUGCUUGCAUGGAGGAGAUUUUAAAGCUCAAGUCCCUGCUGAGCACUAAACGAGAACAGAUCGCCACGCUGAGGACUGUACUCAAGGCCAAUAAACAGACAGCAGAGGUUGCCCUGGCAAACCUAAAGAGCAAAUAUGAUAAUGAAAAGGCCAUGGUCACUGAAACCAUGAUGAAGUUGAGGAACGAGCUGAAGGCUCUUAAAGAAGAUGCCGCUACAUUCUCCUCUCUCAGGGCAAUGUUUGCCACCAGAUGUGAUGAAUACGUAACACAAUUGGACGACAUGCAGAGGCAGCUGGCUGCAGCAGAGGAUGAGAAGAAGACUCUGAACUCUCUCCUGCGUAUGGCCAUCCAGCAGAAACUGGCCCUUACACAGCGAUUGGAGGAUCUGGAGUUUGACCAUGAGCAAUCCCGAAGAGGAUCUGGUGCUGGGCCAGGCAGCCGUGGGAAGGCUUCAUCUGGCCGUGGGAGGGGACCCUUAUUGUUUUCCAGCCCCCAUGUAAGUCCUAGACUUCCAUGUAAGAACCGACCACAACCACACGGCCUCAUUGGAAGUCCUGCGGUUUUCUGCAGUGAGAAGUAUAAAAUUCUGUGUGACACUGGAUCCGAUUAACACCUGUGUGUUACUGUUACUCAUCAGCGUCCUCAUGCUAACUAACAUUCAUUUUACUGUAUGUGUACUUGGGAUAAAACAAUGCUAGCAUGUCACUGUUUGUGCUAACAGUUCUGAUGGCUUCUCCUGUAAAUCUACCUGGAGAUACUGGAUGGGUUGGCAAUACCAUACUAUCUAUACUGUAAAAAAGAAUCUGUAAUAUAAACGUAAAAAAACGACAGCUCUGGUUGCCGGAAUGUACCGUAAAAAAAUAUGAGUAUUUUAAAUAUUUUACGGUAUUAAAUUGACAGUUAAAUACCAUAAUUUCAUUAACUGGUAUAAUGUUAAUAUACCAGUCUACUGAAGUACUGAAAUCUGUUUUGUACUGUACCUUUGUAAUACACUGAUAACCACCAAAUGCAUUUGGUGAUGAAAAAAAUAUGAUGAACCAAAGCCCAUCACAAGCAGCUUUUAAAUAAUAACAUCUAUAGAAGAUGCACAGUGUUAUUCACACAAACACUAAACACCAUCGUGAUAACACACAUGAAACUUAAAUAAUGCAAUAAACACUCAUUAAACAACCCUAAUAUACAAAACUGAUAAGAAAAAACUAAGAAACAUUGUUAUAUCAAAAAAAAAAUGAAAUAGAAAAGAGUUUUGGGAAUGUCAAUUUACGGUUAUUCACUGUAAAUUAUCACUACAAUGAUUCACUUCCAAAAACGUUAUACUACUGUAAAAUUACAUGUAAUGUCCAAUACAGUUUUCUUUUUACCAUAUAUAGUAGGGGAAUUUAUCAAUAACCAUUUAACAGGUUUUUACUGUAGCAUUUUUACAGUCUUUUACCGUUAAAUUCACGAUAAUUUUUUACAGUGUACUAAAGUUAUCACAGUCACUACAAGUAAAAUAAAUUACUACAAGAUUUUUUUGUAAUAGACUAACUCCAAUAUUUGGAUACCAAAUUGAGUCUCUUUUGUGACUUUUUUAUUAUCGAGGAAGACCUGUACUCUUGACAUUUGUACUCGUUUUUUUUAAGAAAGCAGGUUGUAGUGCAUGCAAUUUUCUAGUGUGCAUUGAUUAAUUGCAUGACCUACCACAUUAGACAAAUAGUUUAGUAUAUAGCCAGAGCACACUGUACAAACAGAUAUAUUAUAUUCAGUUGCAACUAAACUCAAUGAAACCUAGAUAUCCAUAAACAAGUAUUGAGGAAACAAUACUUGGAAAAUGGCUAAACAUGGUCAAAUAAAUUUGUGUCAAUUUGUCUUUUCUCUCUGAACAUCUGAGCCCAAUGUUUCUACUUUAACCCAACCAGCAAUGAAUGUCAUUGAGUUAAACCCAGUUUCACAAAGCUAGUCUGUUAAUCUCUGUGUCAGUGCAAAUAAAUCUGUGUAAUCCCAAAAGAGACGCACCUUACUGAGCCUGCUGGGAGCUUUGCAAUCCAGGUUGCAACCCUAAAGAACAUAAUUGAUGCUACAGAUAAAAAUAUGACUAAAUUGAGAGUUUUCAUAGAUUAUGUUUAGAAUUUUAGUUUUGUUUGCACACUUAGUCAUCCAUGUCUUGGUUGGUUUUGUUCAUACUAUUUCAUCUAGCUUUUCAGCAUAACACAUUGUCCAUGUUGUCUUUACAAUGUGUCUCUGAACCACUGUGCAUGAUCUGUUGCUCUCACUUUUAACCAUUUAUAUUAGUUGGCAUGUUGUCUGUUGCAUGUGAGUCUUCAGCUUCCUGCAGUCCAUUGCAUCUGGAAAAAUGAGUCCUCCAUGUUUUGCUGUGUACUAAUGAGUCUAACCUGUCUCAAUGUUGACGUAAUUUUAUUAGCUCUGGAGAUUAUCCGCAAAUGGUCAUUUCCCUCUUCCUUCGCUCGACACAUACAGUACGUCCAGAAUACACAUGCCUGCUCCAAUUAUGGAAACAAGAAAUUUGUCCCUGGAUGUGGCUGCAAGAAAACUCACAGGCUCACAUGUAAAGCCAACCGACCUAUGUAAUCAUGAUUCUGACUUUUACUGUGGUAUUUUUUUCUGCUUCAUUUUUGUUUAAUGUGCACUAUUAGUGCAUUAGUUAUGUAAGAGAUGCACAUUUCAGUAUACUUGGCACAUCUUUUGUUUUUGCGAAUUUUACGUAUUUAACUGAAAAACAAAAAUAAUAUAAGAACUGUGGUGUGUUUAUAGUAUUUUAUGCUUAACUGUCAGGUUUUAAGCAUAUUCCAGGGAGAACGAUUAUGUUAAUAAGGCCUAUAUUUGUUUUUUGUUUCAUGUGUAACUCAGUUUGAGGAACAAUAAGUUUGACUUGCUCCUGAAAAGUUUGGAGUCAAUUUCCAUAGUGGGUCAAGCAUGUUAAAUUAACCACAUAAAAAAUAUAAAUUCCAAAUUGGAAUACUUUCUACUUUUUUGCCAAAUACUGCAUUAAGGUCAGCAUUUUGUAUUUUUACAUUGCAAUACAUACCUGUUUUAAACAUCGAUUAUCUGUUUUGUAUAACCCUCUCAUAAGACCUCCUGUGCCUUUUAUGCAACUAUUUGUUUUUGGUUUCAUAAAUCAAUCUAAAGCCAUAGAGUUCAGUAUUUCUGUCAGUAUCCCUCACUUGGCCCACAUCUAAUUUGGAAAAUAAUUAAACACUCCUUGUGAAUGUCGACUCAGAUUGCUGGUUUAGGAGAUUUUAAAUGUUAGUAAGAACUAGGUGUGUUCAAAAUCAUACAUUCCUUUGAGGAAGUAAUGAUUUCUGAUGGCAGUCAUCUUGGCUGUCUGUUGAUAUUGUUGGUCAUUAUUUUUCUAUGUGUAACCUUGCUAAUAAUUGAGUUAUUUGUUUGUAUUUCAGCAAGCAGAAAACUUUGCCUCAGAACAUUUGUGCCAUUUCAAAUUUAAGACGUAUUAAAGUUUUAAAAUAACCUUUCCUUUUCUUUUUCUUUUGACUAAAAAGUGCAAUUUUGUGCUGUUUCUGGAGUGUAUGCAAUAGUUUUCUAUUUGCUGAAACUGCUUCAUCAGCCAUGUCAUAGCUUUAUAUGACAUUGAGUGUAUUUUUACAAAUUUUUAUAGAAUGACCUCACGUAUUUGUUAUUAUUUAUUCAUAACCUUGGCUCAUAAUCGGUUCAGUAUUAAUGACUAGGUUUGUAUGCAUUAUUACCGGCACACUCUUUGCAUUUCUACUUGAAAUCUGACAGGUACAAUGUAUGCUAUAAUGCCUCGCCUAUGUUUUUUUUUUUUCCUUCUUUUUUUUUAUCAUUAUAAUUAUUAUUGUUUUACAGUGCUGAUGUCAAUGUUCUACUUUUUUCUAAUCCUUUGCGCUCUGUAGUUUAUCAUGAGGAACACAUUAUAGGCCCUUGUCUGUCUUAACAUUUCUCACUGACAAAAAAAGAAGCAAAAAAAUUAAUAAAUAAACUAAUAUAAAAUAUCA